GACGGAGGGCGCAAGCGUUAAUCGGAUUCAUUGGGCGUAAAGGGCGCGUAGGCGGGGAUGUUAGUCAGAUGUGAAAUCCCGGGGCUCAACUCCGGAACGGCAUUUGAAACUGCAUUCCUUGAGGGUAGACGGAGAAAACGGAAUUCCACGUGUAGCGGUGAAAUGCGUAGAUAUGUGGAAGAACACCAGUGGCGAAGGCGGUUUUCUAGUUUACACCUGACGCUGAGGCGCGAAAGCAAGGGGAGCAAACAGG
rnacentral:rRNA from 1 species